GUAACAUCAAAAUGUGCCUUUAUAACGG
rnacentral:sRNA from 1 species